GACGAACGCUGGCGGCGUGCCUAAUACAUGCAAGUCGAGCGAAGUUUUUCUGGUGCUUGCACUAGAAAAACUUAGCGGCGAACGGGUGAGUAACACGUAAAGAACCUGCCUCAUAGACUGGGACAACUAUUGGAAACGAUAGCUAAUACCGGAUAACAGUAUUUCUCGCAUGAGAGAUAUUUAAAAGUUGGUUAUGCUAACACUAUGAGAUGGCUUUGCGGUGCAUUAGCUAGUUGGUGGGGUAAAGGCCCACCAAGGCGACGAUGCAUAGCCGACCUGAGAGGGUGAUCGGCCACACUGGGACUGAGACACGGCCCAGACUCCUACGGGAGGCAGCAGUGGGAAUCUUCCGCAAUGGGCGAAAGCCUGACGGAGCAACGCCGCGUGAGUGAAGAAGGAUUUCGGUUCGUAAAGCUCUGUUGUUAGGGAAGAAUGGAUAUGUAGUAACUAUA
rnacentral:rRNA from 1 species